UGAAUCACUGUUCCCAUUGGAUCACCGAAGUUAAGCAACGUCGAGCCUGGUCAGUAUCUAGAUGAGUGACUGUUUGGGAAUACCAGGUGCU